GACGAACGCUGGCGGCGUGCUUAACACAUGCAAGUCGAACGGAAAGGCCCCCUUGUGGGGUACUCGAGGGGCGAACGGGGGGGGAAAACGUGAGUAACCUACCCUUGACUUUGGGAUAACUUCAGGAAACUGGGGCUAAUACCGGAUAGGAGCUCCUGCUGCAUGGGGGGGGGUGGAAAGUUUCGGCGGUUGGGGAUGGACUCGCGGCUUAUCAGCUUGUUGGUGGGGUAGUGGCUCACCAAGGCUUUGACGGGUAGCCGGCCUGAGAGGGUGACCGGCCACAUUGGGACUGAGAUACGGCCCAGACUCCUACGGGAGGCAGCAGUGGGGAAUAUUGCACAAUGGGCGGAAGCCUGAUGCAGCAACGCCGCGUGCGGGAUGACGGCCUUCGGGUUGUAAACCGCUUUCGCCUGUGACGAAGCGUGAGUGACGGUAAUGGGUAAAGAAGCACCGGCUAACUACGUG
rnacentral:rRNA from 1 species